ACGAACGCUGGCGGCGCGCCUAACACAUGCAAGUCGAACGGAGUUACAUUGAAAGCUUGCUGGAUAUGUAACUUAGUGGCGGACGGGUGAGUAACACGUGAGUAAUCUGCCUUCCAGAGGGGAAUAACGUUUGGAAACGAACGCUAAUACCGCAUAACGUACGGUCCUCACAUGGGGACUGUACCAAAGAUUUUAUCGCUGGAAGAUGAGCUCGCGGCCGAUUAGGUAGUUGGUGAGAUAACAGCCCACCAAGCCGACGAUCGGUAGCCGGACUGAGAGGUUGAUCGGCCACAUUGGGACUGAGACACGGCCCAGACUCCUACGGGAGGCAGCAGUGGGGGAUAUUGCACAAUGGGGGAAACCCUGAUGCAGCGACGCCGCGUGAGGGAAGACGGCCUUCGGGUUGUAAACCUCUGUCUUUUGGGACGAAUGAAUGACGGUACCAAAAGAGGAAGCCACGGCUAACUACGUGCCAGCAGCCGCGGUAAUACGUAGGUGGCAAGCGUUGUCCGGAAUUACUGGGUGUAAAGGGAGCGUAGGCGGGAAUGCAAGUUGGAUGUCUAAACUAUCGGCUCAACCGGUAAUCGCAUCCAAAACUGUAUUUCUUGAGUGGAGUAGAGGCAGGCGGAAUUCCUAGUGUAGCGGUGAAAUGCGUAGAUAUUAGGAGGAACACCAGUGGCGAAGGCGGCCUGCUGGGCUCUAACUGACGCUGAGGCUCGAAAGCGUGGGUAGCAAACAGGAUUAGAUACCCUGGUAGUCCACGCCGUAAACGAUGAUUACUAGGUGUGGGGGGACUGACCCCUUCCGUGCCGGAGUUAACACAAUAAGUAAUCCACCUGGGGAGUACGACCGCAAGGUUGAAACUCAAAGGAAUUGACGGGGGCCCGCACAAGCAGUGGAGUAUGUGGUUUAAUUCGAAGCAACGCGAAGAACCUUACCAGGUCUUGACAUCGAGUGACGAACUUAGAGAUAAGUUCUUCCUUCGGGACACGAAGACAGGUGGUGCAUGGUUGUCGUCAGCUCGUGUCGUGAGAUGUUGGGUUAAGUCCCGCAACGAGCGCAACCCUUAUCAUUAGUUGCUACGCAAGAGCACUCUAAUGAGACUGCCGUUGAUAAAACGGAGGAAGGUGGGGAUGACGUCAAAUCAUCAUGCCCCUUAUGACCUGGGCUACACACGUACUACAAUGGCGAUCAAACAGAGGGAAGCAACACGGCGACGUGAAGCAGAUCCCAAAAAAUCGUCCCAGUUCAGAUUGCAGGCUGCAACUCGCCUGCAUGAAGUCGGAAUUGCUAGUAAUCGCAGAUCAGCAUGCUGCGGUGAAUACGUUCCCGGGCCUUGUACACACCGCCCGUCACACCAUGGGAGUCGGUAACACCCGAAGUCAGUAGCCUAACCGCAAGGAGGGCGCUGCCGAAGGUGGGAUUGAUGACUGGGGUG
rnacentral:rRNA from 1 species